rnacentral:rRNA from 1 species
ACCUACGGGAGGCAGCAGUAGGGAAUUUUCGUCAAUGGGCGCAAGCCUGAGCGAGCAAUGCCGCGUGAACGAGGAAGGUCUUCGGAUCGUAAAGUUCUGUUGAAGGGGAAAAAGAGCGGAGAGAGGAAAUGCUUUCUGAUUGAUAUUACCCUUCGAGGAAGUCACGGCUAACUACGUGCCAGCAGCCGCGGUAAUACGUAGGUGGCGAGCGUUAUCCGGAAUGAUUGGGCGUAAAGGGUGCGUAGGCGGCCUGCUAAGUCUGGAGUGAAAGGUACCGGCUCAACCGGUACAGGCUCUGGAAACUG